AUUGAACGCUGGCGGCAUGCCUUACACAUGCAAGUCGAACGGCAGCACGGGAGCAAUCCUGGUGGCGAGUGGCGAACGGGUGAGUAAAGUAUCGGAACGUGCCCAGUCGUGGGGGAUAACGUAGCGAAAGUUACGCUAAUACCGCAUACGAUCUAUGGAUGAAAGCGGGGGAUCGCAAGACCUCGCGCGAUUGGAGCGGCCGAUAUCAGAUUAGGUAGUUGGUGGGGUAAAGGCUCACCAAGCCGACGAUCUGUAGCUGGUCUGAGAGGACGACCAGCCACACUGGGACUGAGACACAGCCCAGACUCCUACGGGAGGCAGCAGUGGGGAAUUUUGGACAAUGGGCGCAAGCCUGAUCCAGCCAUGCCGCGUGCAGGAUGAAGGCCUUCGGGUUGUAAACUGCUUUUGUACGGAACGAAAAGGUUUGGCCUAAUAAGCUGAGCUCAUGACGGUACCGUAAGAAUAAGCACCGGCUAACUACGUGCCAGCCGCCGCAGUAAUAC
rnacentral:rRNA from 1 species